UACGUAGGGGGCUAGCGUUGUCCGGAAUCAUUGGGCGUAAAGCGCGCGUAGGCGGCCCGGUAAGUCCGCUGUAAAAGUCAAAGGCUCAACCUUUGAAUGUCAGUGGAUACUGCCGGGCUAGAGUCCGGAAGAGGCGAGUGGAACUCCUGGUGUAGCGGUGGAAUGCGCAGAUAUCAGGAGGAACACCGAUGGCGAAGGCAGCUCGCUGGGACGGUACUGACGCUGAGACGCGAAAGCGUGGGGAGCGAACAGG
rnacentral:rRNA from 1 species